GACGAACGCUGGCGGCGUGCUUAACACAUGCAAGUCGAACGGUGAAGCGCCUUCCUUUUUGGUGGGUGUGGAUGAGUGGCGAACGGGUGAGUAACACGUGAGUAACCUGCUCCCUUCUUCUGGAUAACCGCAUGAAAGUGUGGCUAAUACGGGAUAUUCUGGGUCUGUCGCAUGAUGGGUGUGGGAAAGAUUUUGUUUCGGUGGGGGAUGGGCUCGCGGCCUAUCAGCUUGUUGGUGGGGUGAUGGCGUACCAAGGCGGCGAUGCGUAGCCGGCCUGAGAGGGUGAGUGACCGUCAUGCAAGUGAUGCAAGACCGCGCAUCCUACGACAGGAAGCAGCAGGGAAGAAUCUGGCACGAGGGACGGAAUGCUGGUGCAACGACGCCUGAGUGAGGAAGGAGUUCUUCGGGUUGAGAACCUCUUUCGGCAAUGAAGCAAGGCUGCAUCGUUUGUGGGUGGGUUGACGGUAGCUGGACAAGAAGCGCCGGCUAACUACGUG
rnacentral:rRNA from 1 species